AAUGAACGCUGGCGGCGUGGAUUAGGCAUGCAAGUCGAGCGGAAAGGCCCCGCAAGGGGUACUCGAGCGGCGUAAGGGACAGUAAUGUAUAGGUACGUACCCCGGGUCUGGGAUAGCUGCGGGAAACUGCAAUUAAUACCAGAUGAUGUCUCCGGACCAAAGGUGUGAUUCCGCCAGGGGAGCGGCCUACAUCCUAUUAGCUAGUUGGUGGGGUAAUGGCCCACCAAGGCUCAGAUGGGUAGCAGGUGUGAGAGCACGACCUGCGUCACUGGGACUGAGACACUGCCCAGACACCUACGGGUGGCUGCAGUCGAGAAUCUUCGGCAAUGGGCGCAAGCCUGACCGAGCGACGCCGCGUGCGGGAUGAAGGCCUUCGGGUUGUAAACCGCUGUCAGAGGGGAUGAAAUGCUGGUGGGUUAUCUCAUCAGCUUGACUGAUCCUCAGAGGAAGGGUGGGCUAAGUUCGUGCCAGCCGCCGCCGUAAUAC
rnacentral:rRNA from 1 species